AUUGAACGCUGGCGGCAUGCCUUACACAUGCAAGUCGAACGGCAGCACGGGUGCUUGCACCUGGUGGCGAGUGGCGAACGGGUGAGUAAUACAUCGGAACAUGUCCUGUAGUGGGGGAUAGCCCGGCGAAAGCCGGAUUAAUACCGCAUACGAUCUACGGAUGAAAGCGGGGGACCUUCGGGCCUCGCGCUAUAGGGUUGGCCGAUGGCUGAUUAGCGAGUUGGUGGGGUAAAGGCCUACCAAGGCGACGAUCAGUAGCUGGUCUGAGAGGACGACCAGCAACACUGGGACUGAGACACGGCCCAGACUCCUACGGGAGGCAGCAGUGGGGAAUUUUGGACAAUGGGCGAAAGCCUGAUCCAGCAAUGCCGCGUGUGUGAAGAAGGCCUUCGGGUUGUAAAGCACUUUUGUCCGGAAAGAAAUCCUUGGCCCUAAUACGGUCGGGGGAUGACGGUACCGGAAGAAUAAGCACCGGCUAACUACGUG
rnacentral:rRNA from 1 species